GCGGGUAUAGUUCAUCGGUAGAACGCGACCUUCCCAAGGUUGAGAGAGGGGUUCGACUCCCCUUACCCGCUCCA
rnacentral:tRNA from 1 species